CCGCGGUAUUCUAACCGUGCGAAGGUAGCGCAAUCAAUUGCCUUUUAAAUGAAGGCCUGUAUGAAUGGUAUAACGAGGGUCUGACUGUCUCUUUUUUCUAGUCAGUUAAACUGAUCUGUCCGUGCAGAAGCGGACAUUAUUAUACAAGACGAGAAGACCCUAUGGAGCUUUAGACACUAGCCAACUGUGAAUGAGCGACUGAACUAUACAAGUCUUAAAUACCCACAGCCUCUGGUAAUGUAGUCUUAGGUUGGGGCGACCACGGGAGAAAAUAAAGCUCCCAAGCAGACCGGGAAAACCCUUAAGCCCAGAGUUGCAACUCUAAGCCGCAAAAAUUUUGACUGAAAUGAUCCGGUUGAAAAACCGAUUAACGAACCAAGUUA
rnacentral:rRNA from 1 species